UACGUAGGGUGCGAGCGUUGUCCGGAAUUAUUGGGCGUAAAGAGCUCGUAGGCGGUCUGUCGCGUCGGAUGUGAAAACUUGGGGCUCAACCCCAAGCCUGCGGUCGAUACGGGCAGGCUAGAGUUCGGUAGGGGAGACUGGAAUUCCUGGUGUAGCGGUGAAAUGCGCAGAUAUCAGGAGGAACACCGGUGGCGAAGGCGGGUCUCUGGGCAGUAACUGACGCUGAGGAGCGAAAGCGUGGGGAGCGAACAGG
rnacentral:rRNA from 1 species